UACGUAGGGUGCAAGCGUUAAUCGGAAUUACUGGGCGUAAAGCGUGCGCAGGCGGUUGUGCAAGCCAGAUGUGAAAUCCCCGGGCUUAACCUGGGAAUUGCAUUUGUGACUGCACGGCUAGAGUGUGUCAGAGGGGGGUAGAAUUCCACGUGUAGCAGUGAAAUGCGUAGAUAUGUGGAGGAAUACCGAUGGCGAAGGCAGCCCCCUGGGAUAACACUGACGCUCAGGCACGAAAGCGUGGGGAGCAAACAGG
rnacentral:rRNA from 1 species